rnacentral:rRNA from 1 species
GGUUCGAUCUGGCUCAGAUUGAACGCUGGCGGAUGCUUUACACAUACAAGUCGAACGGCAGCACGGACUUCGGUCUGGUGGCGAGUGGCGAACAGGUGAGUAAUGUAUCGGAACGUGCCUAGUAGCGGGGGAUAACUACGCGAAAGCGUAGCUAAUACCACAUACGCCCUUCGGGGGAAAGCGGGGGACCUUCGGGCCUCGCACUAUUAGAGCGGCCGAUAUCGGAUUAGCUAGUUGGUGGGGUAACGGCUCGCCAAGGCGACGAUCCGUAGCUGGUUUGAGAGGACGACCAGCCACACUGGGACUGAGACCUGGCCCAGACUCCUACAGGAGGCAGCAGUGAGGAAUUUACGGACAAUGGGGAAACCCUGAUCCAGCCAUCCCGCGUGUGCGAUGAAGGCCUUCGGGUUGUAAAGCACUUUUGGCAGGAAAGAAACGGCACGGGAUAAUACCCCGUGCAACUGACGGUACCUGCAGAAUAAGCACCGGCUAACUAGGUGCCAGCAAUAAUACAGCGGUAAUACGUAAGUGCAAGCGUUAAUCGGAAUUACUGGGCGUAAAGCGUGCGCAGGCGGUUCGGAAAGAAAGAUGUGAAAUCCCAGAGCUUAACUUUUGGAACUGCAUUUUUAACUACCGAGUAGAGUGUGUCCAGAGGGAGGUGGAAUUCCGCGUGUAGCAGUGAAAUGCGUAGAUAUGCGGAGGAACACCGAUGAAGGCAGCCUCCUGGGAUAACACUGACGCUCAUUGCGCAACACGUGGGGAGCAAAAAACGAGUUAGAUACCCUGGUAGUCCGCCUAAACGAUGUCAACUAGCUGUUGGGGCCUUCCAGGCCUUGGUAGCGCAGCUAACGCGUGAAGUUGACCGCCCUGGGAAGUACAGUCGCAAGAUUAAAACUCGAAGGAACAAGCGAGGACCACACAAGCAGAAUGGAUGAUGUGGAUUAAUUCGAUGCAACGCGAAAAACCUUACCUACCCUUGACAUGUCUGGAAUCCCGAAAGAGAUUUGGGAGUGCUCGCAGAGAACCGGAACAGGUGCUGCAUGGCUGUCGUCAGCUCGUGUCGUGAGAUGUUGGGUUAAGUCCCGCAACGAGCGCAACCCUUGUCAUUAGUUACCCCGCGAAGGGCACUCUAAUGAGACUGCCGGUGACAAACCGGAGGAAGGUGGGAUGACGUCAAGUCCUCAUGGCCCUUAUGGUAGGGCUUCACGCACGUCAUACAAUGGUCGGGACAGAGGGUCGCCAACCCGCGAGAGGAGCCAAUCCCAGAAACCCGAUCGUAGUCGGAUCGCAGUCUGCAACUCGACUGCGUGAAGUCGGAAUCGCUAGUAAUCGCGGAUCAGCAUGUCGCGGUGAAUACGUUCCCGGGUCUUGUACACACCGCCCGUCACACCAUGGGAAUUGGGUUUUACCAGAAGUAGUUAGCCUAACCGUAAGGAGGGCGAUUACCACAGUGAGUUCAUGACUGGGGUGAAGUCGUAACAAGGUGGCUU